rnacentral:misc_RNA from 1 species
AACGCACAUUGCGCCCCUUGGUAUUCCAUGGGGCAUGCCUGUUCGAGCGUCAUUUACACCCUCAAGCUCUGCUUGGUGUUGGGCGUGUUUGUCUUAAAACCUAUGGGUUUGGACUCGCCCCAAAGGCAUUGGCAGCGGUCCUUCGGGCCUCCUAAUCGCGCAGCACUGUUCGCGCUUCUCGGAGCUCGUAUGGAUUUUUUUCAGCUAUCCAUCAAGCCCAAUCUUUCUUGAACUUGACCUCGAAUCAGGUAGGGAUACCCGCUGAACUUAA